rnacentral:rRNA from 1 species
GGUGUUUAUUGUGGUGAGGGUACACCCGUUCCCAUUCCGAACACGGUAGUUAAGCUCAUUUACGCCGAAAAUACUUGGCUGGUGACGGCCCGGGAAAAUAGGACGAUGCC